UUAACAGAUGAUCUUAACAGCUGUUCGUCGGAGACGCAGUCUCCGGUAUGCUGGCCGGCUGCCGGGAGAUCCCCUUACCGGCCCGCCCUGUCAAGAUUUGAAUUAAAGAAACCGACUCACAUGUUUGAAACCGAAGAAGAUAAGCUUGAGAGUCAUGAACCUAUGGAUUUGGAGCUCGAAAUGAUGAAAGAAAGAUUCGCAAAACUUUUAUUGGGAGAAGACAUGUCUGGCAGCGGCAAAGGAGUUUCUACUGCGGUUACUGUUUCUAAUGCCAUCACAAAUUUUUACGCUUCUAUGUUUGGCCAACAUCAAAAGUUAGAGCCGUUGCAUCUCGAGAAGAAGAUGAUGUGGAAACGGGAGAUUAACUGCUUACUCUCGGUUUGUGAUUCAUCGUAGAAUUUAUCCCAAUGUCACAUAGUUUACAGAAUGGAAAAGCCAUGGAGGUGAUGUCUAGCCGACCAAGGUCGGAUAUUUAUAUCAACCUUCCAGCCUUAAAGAAGCUCGACGCGCUCCUGUUGCUUCAAAGAGAAGAAUUUUGGUAUGUGGAGCAAUGAAGCAUGUCAAGAAAUUCAAGAUUGGGGUCAUUUCGAAAAAUUCCUCAGCCUUUGAGAAAAGACAAGAAAUGGUGGUUGCCCAUUCCUUGCGUGAGCCCCGAAGGAUUUUGAAGAAGGGUUUGAGUCUUCUACAGUUUCUUCAUUGGAUCAAGGAGCAGUUGAUGAUGAUUAUGAACAUGAUCAAUCACCCACGAUAAAUUCGACACUCAGUGGUCGUUCGUUUGCGUACUAUAGAACUAACUCGGAGACUUCAGCUUUCUUUGAGCAGUUAACGGAUGAUCUUAACACCCUUUUCCUCUCAGCAAGAUAUGAUUCUUUUUAAAUUUGUGAUUGUUAACAAAAUUGCGUUUUUUUUUGUUUAUUACAGGAAAUAUUGGAUAGCUUCAAAGAGAAGAAUUUUGGUAUGUGGAGCAAGGAAGCAUGUCGGUAAAUUCAAGAUCGGGGUCAUUUCGAAAAAUUCCUCAGCCUCAGAGAAAAGACGAGAAAUGAUUAUGAACAUGAUCAAUCACCCACGAUAAAUUCGACAUUCAGUGGUC